CUGCAGCCAAUUAAGCCGACUGAGUUCCUUUCCUCAUGGAGGCCCAGUGUGCAAUGGCUGCAAACAGCAGCUUCCAUGGUAGUGAUGCAGCCUGUUUGUUGUAUGGGUUGCUCUAAGGGACCUUGGAGACAGAC
rnacentral:snoRNA from 1 species